rnacentral:lncRNA from 1 species
GGUGGGGUGGGGUGAGGGGGAGGGUACUAUUGUUCAACAACCAUAAAAGCUUUGAGAAGCCUUUUACAUAGCAGAUGAACCUCCAAAAAACUUCUUUUCCUUCAAACUUUCAACAGUUUCUUUGAUGCUUUCUUCAAGGGUAGUAAAUUCAACACCCAAGCUUUUUGCCUUUUCCCUUGAUACUUGAUAGUUUUGCAUCAAUGGGUUGUCAUCAGCACACCUACAAAGGUUAUUUAGAAAAAAUGCAGUUCAAACAAUUUCAGUGAAAAGCUAAUAGUUCCAUAUAUUAACAUAAUCCCGAGUAAAAAUGUAGCGACCCUAAGAAUUUCGUUUGGAGGUGAUAAAUGUUAACUAAUAUAUAAAGAAUUGUUUGGCAUGUCAAAGAUGGAUAACAAACUAGUGCAAUAUCAGUUGGACGUGAUAGCAAGUGUACGAGAUGUAUUAUUUGAAGUGAUUUAGGGUCUAAGGAGAAUCCUAGGGCGAAGUAAAGUUGGAAACUACAUGACAAACUAAAGAUUCAAAUGAGCAUGCACUAGGACCAAGUGACCAACUUCAAACGAUCAUCACUCCCUAUCUAUAUCGAGUUAGGCUGAUAAGAUAUCAAAUAAAAGCUCUUUGAGUUGUAAAAUAAGAAUGACUUUAUUAUGGUAUAAAGUAUUACAAUUUCAUAGAGGAAAGAAAGAAAAAACAGUUUUAGAAUUAUUCAGUAUUUUUAUCAUCUUGCAUUCUAAGUGUUCUCUAAGAACUGCAUUGGAUUGCGUAGGGUUUCUCAUAUUAAGGAGGAGUAGAUAAGCCAAGAAGGUUUGCUCGUAAGGCACCGGGUCUUGGCUCGUCUUUAUCAGAAAUUGGGUCCUCCCCCUUUUUGUUACCUUUUCUUGUGGUUACAAUGUUUCCUUUAAAGAUCAGGAGGACUUAUUUAGAAUCACUAGCAAGGCUAGUCCAACCAAGAAAGAAAAGGGAAUCUAUGGGCAUUGUCUGGUUCAAGUUAGUGGUUUGCAAACACUUGGAUAUAAGUUGCAUAUAAUCAAAGAGCAUUCAAUCUAUGAAUGACUCGGAGUGGAUAAUCAAAGAAGGUUCACUAUUAGGAGAUUGAAACCACACUAUGAUCAAAUUUGACAGUAUAUUGCUCUUCACAUAUUUUAAGAUUUCAUUCAGAAUAACACUAGCUUUUCCAUCGUCUCUUGUGCUCUCUCUCUCUCUCACACACACGCGCGCGCGCGCACACAGUGAACAAGAAUGAAUCUACACAUUCAACAUAAAACACUAUCAACAUAUUCAUCUAACCACAUAACAACAUUUGUGUGAUCAAAGCUCAAUAUAGAAGUUUCAUCAAAGCAAAACAUCGACUUAUUUUUCAUAUGAAUACUUACUUUUCUGGAAGUUGCAUAGUAGGAUAAAGGUCACGCAAUAUCUUCAAUAUAUCAGAAUAGUGUGCAACUCUCUCAACCAUUAAGUAUCUCCCAUUAGCUGAAGGGUUC